AUGAGAUGAAAUCAACAUUUAGACAUGCGAUUUAAUGAUGAUUUCAUCUCAUGA
rfam:Capsicum annuum cultivar Zunla-1 chromosome 3, whole genome shotgun sequence